ACCUACGGGACGCAGCAGUGAGGAAUAUUGGUCAAUGGGCGGGAGCCUGAACCAGCAAAGCCGCGUGAGGGAAGAAGGUACAGCGUAUCGUAAACCUCUUUUGUCAGGGAACAAAGGCGGGGACUAGUCCCCGGAUGAGGGUACCUGAAGAAAAAGCAUCGGCUAACUCCGUGCCAGCAGCCGCGGUAAUACGGAGGAUGCGAGCGUUAUCCGGAUUUAUUGGGUUUAAAGGGUGCGCAGGCGGAAUGUCAAGUCAGCAGUAAAAUUUCGGGGCUCAACCCCGUCGUGCCGUUGAAACUGGCGUU
rnacentral:rRNA from 1 species